GCGGGCAUAGCUCAGCGGUAGAGCAUCUCCUUGCCAAGGAGAAGGUCGCGGGUUCGAAUCUCGUUGCCCGCUCCA
rnacentral:tRNA from 1 species